rnacentral:lncRNA from 1 species
UCGCUCAAAGUGUAGUCCAUUCAGCUGCUCAUGUGUAAUGAAAAUGAUAUUACAGCAUUGUCACUAACUACAACGACAUCACGCACCAAUUCCUUUCUUGCAUCUACGUUCACUUGGAUCUGAAAAAGCAGGCGAGUGUGCUUAAAUGUAUUGUCACAUUCAACAUGUUGAACCCCGUAUGGAUGUACAUAAUUUAUUCUAUGAUGUUUAUUCAGGCUAGACUACGUUAGAGAGAUAGGGAUCUGCGAGAGGCUACUUCAGUUGUUCCAGAGCUUGAAAUUCCCGCUAGUUUGCUGUCGUUCUCUUCUUCAACAAGAUCCACGUCAGAUUGGGUUUUGAACGGAAGGUAUCUGACUCCUGGUUGUGGAAAAGAUAUGAUCCAUGGGACUUCACCUGUUACUGAAUCUAUCGCCGAGAAUAUGUUACGAAAUUGUUACAUGAUUCAGAGAGGACAGGGAAGAAGGACAAUAACGGAUGUGCGUGUGAGUAACUAACCUGUGUGGUCGACGAAACCAUGGGGGUGCUCUGCACCGUCGCUCCCCUCCAUUUUUCCUACCGGACGCUGGCUGUGAAGAUUGAGAUGAAGGGGAACUAUGAGUCUGUGUUGGGUGCAGACUGCUCCGGGAAGAAGAUGGUAUGGUCACGGGGCCUGUUCACGUCUUGCCAGCACGGCUGCCG